ensembl:antisense_RNA anr-39 ncRNA
UUGGAAACAUGAUCGAUCUUUAAAUGUCUUUGUUGUGGAAUUUUGAUUUGAAUGAUAGAAAAUGAAGAAAAAGAAAGACCUUGUUUCGACAUUUUCGCGUUUUCUAGCUAGAGUUUCUAUGAAAGACAGGCGCGGUUUCAAGGCCGGACGCCUGCCUCUCGCCUCAUUUCUGCGCGACGGACGUGGUAGGCGUUUUAGCGAUUGCAUGGAAGCCCUAGCGGGUACACACGGAAUCCAAAAUAGUGUAGGCCCGCCUUUCUUAAAGGUCAUUUUCUGAGAUGACUUCAAAAUCGCGACUUCAAAACAAAAAUCAGCCGCCGACGUCUCACGAGUUCGUUUGCAUUCACUGUGCCACUGUGUUGGCUAUUGAUAUCGGCCGAUGCUACCCUUUUGGUUUCCGUGCGUACACCCUACCCAGUUUAUUUAUUUCAAAUGUACUUCACCUGUAAAUAUAAAGUAUAAACAGGAACUCCUUUUUGUUGUUUUUGAGACAAACUUUUGAUCUGCUCGUAAACGCGGUCUGCAGCUUUCACGUUAUCACUAUUAAUGUCGACAUAGAGCAAGGAAAAUUCUAGAUUUUCCGCAAGUGUAGCAUUUGUUAAAAUGUGAUUUAUGUCUUCGCACAUUACAUCAACAUAAUCUUUCCCUUGAACAUGCCAUUUGUUGUACGUUAUCCGAUAAACACUCGUGUCUGUUCCGUCAUAAUCAUAAUGCACUCGAAAAACAGGUUUGUCUUCAAAUGUCAGCGUAAGUUUUCCGUUAUCCGUUCUUUGGGAAAAAUAUCCAUGACAGCCGAUGCUGACAUCCAACCUAGUUAAAAUCCAUCCGUUUGUGGCUUGACAUAAAUUAUAUGCAUAUGACAUUAUCUUCUAAAUUAAAACUUGUUAAAUGAAAUUCAAAAAGGAAAGAGAAAAUAAACGGAAUAAUUCGGUUUUUUUCUUGAAUUCAGACAGUAGAUUAUAUUAUUAAUUUUUGUAUAUCAUGGCAGAGAUGUGCGGCACUUGGUUUAUUUACGAAAUCUUAUUUUUCUCAUGGUUGUGUGGAAUUUUUUUCUUGGAAAUUUAUAUCAAAAUACAAAAAAUUGUUUGUACUUUUUGAUGAUACUUUUAUUUUUAAUUAAAUGUUUUCAAAAAUGCUCUCCUUUUUUGUCUUUCAGGCAGUUUUCGAGCAACUUUUCAAAGUUUUUAAUUAAAAGUAAAGUUGUUUUCCAAAAGUACAACUGCAUCUAGUAGUUAUGUGUGCCUACGGAGUUGAGGCAUGACAUACUUCCCACAGUAAUAACUUGUUCUCCAUGUAGAUAUUUUUCAGAUGUAAUGAAUGCAACAUACAUGUUGAAUGAUUAGGCUGGCAAAAAUUUUGAAUUCAUUUCAAUCUUGCAAAAAUGGCAAAGUUCGAUCAUGUUCGUAUGUUUAUGUUGUCUCGUACUUGGAGCGUAAUUUCAAUAAAAACCCAUAUGGAAAAAAGGAAAAAUGUUCAAUUUGACGUACAGUCUGAUGGGUAGUGCAAAGAUGUGUGGCUUUUUACUAAAUCAUCACUACCAAUACCGUGUUUCAUUCUCUUUUCUUCCUAUCAUAUUUUGGAAGAAUAUAAUUUUGGGAAAGCAAAAUCUUUAAAUUAAUUUUCUCAAAUUUAGAAUAUUUACGUGAGAGAAUGAGAGAGUGCAGAGAAAAAGAGUAAAAUGAAAAAAAUGAAAUCGAGAGAGGCCGUGUGACUGAGCUGCCAGAAAAAUUGAUUGUUCUUAUCAGUUUGUAUGGUUCUGCACGUGUACAACUAUAUACAUAGAUUUGUUUAAAUGUGGAGUACCGAAAUUUGACCUAUACCCAAACUGACCCAAAACUACCAAAUUUUGUAAUGAGGCAUGCUGAAAAUUUCUCAAAAAAAAAGGUUUGGAAAAAUUGCCCUUUUUUAAGAAAAAUCACAUUUUUUCCAUUGACUCGGUGUCGCAGCGUCUGGAACUUUAUUUUUAUUUAUUUGGCAUUCUUCAAUAAAUAAACAUUGUGGUUUUU